rnacentral:rRNA from 1 species
GAACGCUGGCGGCGCGCCUAAUACAUGCAAGCCGAGCGAGAAGACGUAGCAAUACGUUUGUAAAGCGGCGAACGGGUGAGGAAUACAUGGGUAACCUACCCUCGAGUGGGGAAUAACUAGCCGAAAGGUUAGCUAAUACCGCGUACGCUCCUUGGACUUCGGUUCAGGGAGGAAAGCGAUACCGUGGGUAUCGCGCUCUUGGUUGGGCUCAUGUCCUAUCAGCUUGUUGGUGAGGUAACGGCUCACCAAGGCUUCGACGGGUAGCUGGUCUGAGAGGACGAUCAGCCACACUGGCACUGCGACACGGGCCAGACUCCUACGGGAGGCAGCAGUAAGGAAUAUUGCGCAAUGGGCGAAAGCCUGACGCAGCGACGCCGCGUGGGGGAUGAAGGUCUUCGGAUUGUAAACCCCUUUCGGGAGGGAAGAUGGAACGAGCAAUCGUUCGGACGGUACCUCCAGAAGCAGCCACGGCUAACUUCGUGCCAGCAGCCGCGGUAAUACGAAGGUGGCAAGCGUUAUUCGGAUUUACUGGGCGUACAGGGAGCGUAGGCGGUUCGGUAAGCCCUCUGUGAAAUCUCCAGGCUUAACCUGGAACAGUCGGAGGGGACUGCUGGGCUAGAGGACGGGAGAGGAGCGCGGAAUUCCCGGUGUAGCGGUGAAAUGCGUAGAGAUCGGGAGGAAGGCCGGUGGCGAAGGCGGCGCUCUGGAACGUUUCUGACGCUGAGGCUCGAAAGCGUGGGGAGCAAA